UACAGAGGUCCCGAGCGUUGUUCGGAUUCACUGGGCGUAAAGGGUGCGUAGGUGGUGAGGUAAGUCGGAUGUGAAAUCUCCGGGCUCAACCCGGAAAUGGCAUUGGAAACUACCUUGCUGGGGGAUUUGAGGGGGGAUUGGAAUACUUGGUGUAGCAGUGAAAUGCGUAGAUAUCAAGUGGAACACCAGUGGCGAAGGCGAAUCCCUGGAAAAUACCUGACACUGAGGCACGAAAGCUAGGGGAGCAAACAGG
rnacentral:rRNA from 1 species